GGGSGGKGCAAGCGUUGUUCGGAAUUACUGGGCGUAAAGGGCUCGUAGGCGGCCAACUAAGKCAGACGUGAAAUCCCUCGGCUUAACCGGGGAACUGCGUCUGAUACUGGAUGGCUUGAGGUUGGGAGAGGGAUGCGGAAUUCCAGGUGUAGCGGUGAAAUGCGUAGAUAUCUGGAGGAACACCGGUGGCGAAGGCGGCAUCCUGGACCAAUUCUGACGCUGAGGAGCGAAAGCUAGGGGAGCAAACGGGAUUAGAUACCCCGGUAGUCCUARCCCUAAACGAUGAAUGCUUGGUGUGGCGGGUAUCGAUCCCUGCCGUGCCGAAGCUAACGCAUUAAGCAUUCCGCCUGGGGAGUACGGUCGCAAGGCUG
rnacentral:rRNA from 1 species